rnacentral:rRNA from 1 species
UACAGAGGUCUCAAGCGUUGUCCGGAUUUAUUGGGCGUAAAGAGCGUGUAGGCGGCCAGGUAGGUCUGCUGUGAAAACUCGAGGCUUAACCUCGAGCUGUCGGCGGAAACCAUCUGGCUAGAGUCCGGAAGAGGAGAAUGGAAUUCCCGGUGUAGCGGUGAAAUGCGCAGAUAUCGGGAAGAACACCCGUGGCGAAGGCGGUUCUCUGGGACGGUACUGACGCUGAGACGCGAAAGCGUGGGGAGCGAACAGG